rnacentral:lncRNA from 1 species
AUUCUGGGACCGCCACCUCCUUCAUUUCAUCUUGGAGGACCAGCAGUUGGACCAAGAGGAAAUCUGGGUGCUGGUAAUGGGAACCUACAGGGACCAAGACACAUGCAAAAAGGCAGAGUGGUCCGUGAUACAGCUAUUGUUUCUAUCCAUAAUUGAUUGCUGUUGGGAAUGUGAUUCCAUUUAAAUGCUUAUUAUUUGAAUCUUUUUUGUUGGGGUUUAGGGGAUUUCAAGACAGUUUCUCUGUGUAGGCUGUUGUAGAUUAGGCUGGCCUCAAAUUCAGAGAUGCAACUGCUUUUGCCUCAGAAUGCUGGGAUUAAAGGCAGUACCACCAAUGCCCAAUCUGGUGUUAAUUCAAUCUGAAUCACAGUUCCUAUACCAAGAUGGGUAUUUUAGUUCGAAAACUAUUAGGUUUGCUGGGUGUGAGGGCAUGUACUUUAAUUCCAGCAUUUAGGGGACAACGUCAGACAAAUCUCUUUUGAGUUUGAGGCCAGCCAGGGGCUAUAUAAUGUGAUCCUAUUUUUAAAAAAAAUAAAAUAUUUUUUAAGUCAUUACACUUUGACAUGACUCGUAGGAGUUAAAAGACCUUACCUUGAUUUAGAGUAUUAGGAACUUUGUAUUCAUCCAGUUGGGUGUAUAGUUUUCAUAAACAGAAAUAACUUGGAAAGAUGGCUCAGCAGUAGCAACUGAGUUUGAUUCCCAGGACCCACACGGUAAAAGGAAAGAACAAGCUCCCACAAGUUGUUCUGACCUCCACACUAACAUCAUAGCAUGUGAAUGCCCGCACUUACAAUUUUAAAGAAUGUAGUAAGGGCCAGGUGGCAGAUCUUUCUGUAGGUGCCAGGGUUUUAUAGACAAACCCUGUCUUGACAAACCACAGAGGAAGAAUGAUGUAAUAAGAAUCAGUAGAGAGCUAGGAAGCGCAA